rnacentral:rRNA from 1 species
UACGUAGCGAGCAAGCGUUGUUCGGAUUUACUGGGCGUAAAGGGCGCGUAGGCGGCAAUUCAAGUCAGCUGUGAAAUCUCCGGGCUUAACUCGGAACGGUCAGCUGAUACUGCUUUGCUAGAGUGCGGAAGGGGCAAUCGGAAUUCUCGGUGUAGCGGUGAAAUGCGUAGAUAUCGAGAGGAACACCUGAGGUGAAGACGGGUUGCUGGGCCGACACUGACGCUGACAGCGCGAAAGCCAGGGGAGCAAACGGG